rnacentral:rRNA from 1 species
UCGAGCGGGAACGGAAGAUAGCUUGCUAUCAGGCGUCGAGCGGCGGACGGCUGAGUAAUGCUUAGGAAUCUGCCCAGUAGUGGGGGAUAGCCCGGGGAAACUCGGAUUAAUACCGCAUACGCCCUUUUGGGGAAAGCAGGGGAUCUUCGGACCUUGCGCUAUUGGAUGAGCCUAAGUCGGAUUAGCUAGUUGGUGGGGUAAAGGCCCACCAAGGCGACGAUCCGUAGCUGGUCUGAGAGGAUGAUCAGCCACAUCGGGACUGAGACACGGCCCGAACUCCUACGGGAGGCAGCAGUGGGGAAUAUUGGACAAUGGGCGCAAGCCUGAUCCAGCCAUGCCGCGUGUGUGAAGAAGGCUUUCGGGUUGUAAAGCACUUUCAGUGAGGAGGAAGGCUUUCAGAUUAAUACUCUGGAGGAUUGACGUCACUCACAGAAGAAGCACCGGCUAACUCCGUGCCAGCAGCCGCGGUAAUACGGAGGGUGCAAGCGUUAAUCGGAAUUACUGGGCGUAAAGCGCGCGUAGGUGGUUGAGUAAGCGAGAUGUGAAAGCCCCGGGCUUAACCUGGGAACGGCAUUUCGAACUGCUCGGCUAGAGUGUGGUAGAGGGUAGUGGAACU